GGCAUAGUGUCCUCUAGGUAAGCACAAAUAGUUACGCCUCUCAUAAAUAACCACUUCAUAGUAUCAAGUCAUCCAUCGUCUAUACUAUAAAGAGGGGUUCUAAAACAUGUUCUAGCAUCCUAUCGUCAUCCAUCGGAUAGUCUACCAGAUCAUGGUUUUUAUAGAAAAUACGAUAUAUAAAAAUAUAGCUCAGAAUAGGCUAACAAUUUAUUUCCUCACCAAAACACGAGACGAAAUCAAUAAAUUCAAUAAACAGACUCAACAUAAAUCGAAUCAUAAAUUCGUAGGCAUGCUAAUCAUUUAUGCAAUUAAAUUAUAAAAUCAUGAAAUUUUAGAAAGGGUCCACUCACAGUACUUAGUUGCCAAAAGUUGCGCCACUAGCGAAGACGGAAACGUCACAAUAAUUGCCCCUAAGCACAUAAAGAGUCCAGUAAAUAAAAAUAUAUAAUAGCAAUUGAAUUUGGGAAUACGGACAUUCGAAACGGAUUCAGAACGUCGAAUUACCCUAAAAAGGGUCCCGGACGAAAACCCGAAAAGUCAACCCUAAAGUCAACGUUGACCGGGGGUCAACGGUUAAACUAGGUCAAACGGGUUUUAGGCUUGAAUCCGGAUUAGGGUUUAGGUUUUAAUGGGUUUUAGGUACCUAGGAUUUUUGGGUUAAAAAGGUUUUUGGGUGAAGGAAAGGGGUUUGGGCUU
rnacentral:lncRNA from 1 species